GAGUUCCCAGAAAUUAAUUUUAAAUGUUUAGCCAACAAAAGCCACAAAAAGAAUUUAUUUCAGUAAAGUAGGAAAUAUUUGACAUAAUUAAGUUCUACACCAAAAAACAUUGGAUUAGAAUAUCCUUUGAAUUUUAGUAUAUGUUUUUUUGGCAUUUCAUGAAAAUUAGAGUUACUGUCCUAGGUUGUGCUAAUUGUUAUUUCAUCUUUUAUUCUUAGAAUUUGGUGGUUAUCUAUCUUGUCAUGGACUGAUGAUGGGUUGUACUAAAUAUGAGCAUCCAGUGUGAAAUGUACAUAGUAUAUUGUAAGUUAUGUUGUAAGGAUAUCUGUUUCAAUCAGGUAAGUAAACUGCUUGGACUGUAACAAUAUUUCAGUAUCUCACAAAUGAAAAUACUGAGCCAACACACAAAAGAUCACAGAUUCGAAGCUUGCUCGUGACCCAAUUUUGUUCAGUCUAUCCAGCUGUGAAACGGAUACCAGCUAAUAAUUGGAGUUAACUUGUGAUGGACUGGCAUCUCAUCUAUAGGGUGUGUGUAACCAUUCUCGUGAAACGGAUACCAGCUAAUAGUUGGAGUUAACUUGUGAUGGACUGGCAUCUCAUCUAUAGGGUGUGUGUAACCAUUCUCAUGAAACGGAUACCAGCUAAUAGUUGGAGUUAACUUGUAAUGGAUCUAUAGGGUGUGUGUAACCAUUCUCAUCAGCUCUACCACUUGAAACUAGAGUUAAGCACUGAUCCUAUGUCCAUUUCAAGACUAACUUACUUUUACCUCUGGAGUUUUUUAUAUCACUUUACAGUAACUUAUGUUAAUUUAGGUAUAAGAAUAAUGUUAGGACAUUGCACCAAAUUAACUUAGGCUACUGUAUGGUGACUUAAAAGGACUCAAAAACCCUAUAGGUAUAAUAUACACAUCACCAUUAUAAGAGGCUUAAUUGUAUUUCUUUAGUUUUUUACCCAAGCUGUGGUGAUGAGCCUUGAAUAGGAAAAACUGCAGUCCACAGCAGAGGGUAUGGCCAAUCAGAGAAUGCAUUAGGCCUUUAUGUCACAGAUUCACUUUUCAGUUUUAGCUUUGGUGAAAAAGAAAAGAAAUCUGUGACACACACACACACACACAUAUUUAUAUAUAUAUAUAUGUAAUGAAAUAAAUAGCUUCAAUACUAUUAUUUUCAUUAAUUGUUAAUAGGUGAUUUUAAAAUCAUCACUAUUGAUUGAAAUGAAACCACCCUAAAUUUUUACUAUAUGUUACUCCCAACCUAUACCCUAAGUGUUUUCAUUUCAUUUUUACUUUAGGAAUUAGAAGAACAUUUAAGGGUAACUGCCUUCCCACAACUGGUUGCAGACAGUGGAAGGCAGUAAGAGUCGAGACAUUAACACGAUGAAGUUGGAUGAAGUAAAACCCAAAGUGUUUGUAUAAAUAAAAGUUAUUCGACACAGUCAUCUUUAAUUUUAAACUGUGUUUUCCUCUCAGUGAAUCAAUCACUAGAAGCAGUAGUAUAUUUUACAAGAAUCUUGAAGAAAGAAAAUCGAGGAAACCGUUUCAAGAGAUUCCAUAAGCUUGACUAUAAGUCAUUUGUAAAGUUUGUUACAUCUGUCUGGCACUGUGAAGAUAUAUAUGAUUUUGUUGGAAUUGCUUGUUCAAGAGAUUAUAGCAAUCGAACCUGGACUCCUCAUCAAAUGAUUCUUGCCAUUCAUGCUGUUGUAGACAAAGGCAUGUCAUAUCGAGAAGCCUCUGCUAACUUUGGUGUUACAAGAACACGGUUAUGUGAUCUGGUUAGAGCAUUUCGCAAAAAAGCUGAAGAAAAAAUUUGGACGGAGUUUCUUCUCUAGUACAUUGUUGUGCAUCUGAGUAGGAGGAAAGUUAAUCAUCAUAGUAUCCAAAAAAUGAUAAUGUCUGUUAAUUAUAAAUUAUUGCUACAGAUAAUUUUUCAGUGUUAUUUAUUAAUUUUCCUGAAAUACAAGGGCAAAAAUUACAGUAAUUUUUUUGUGUUUGUGUUUUGAAUAUGCAUAUUGAGUAAUUGUACUUUGUUAUGUUUUAAUGUGUUGUGAAUAUUGAAAUUAAAUUUACAGUAAAUAAAUAUAAGGAACCUUAAAUUUUCUGGUAAAGUUCAAGCAAGUCUUAAAAUUUAAAGAAAAUAAUUUGAAAGUUUGUUCUGAUAACAAAACAUUUGAAUAAAGUCUCUGAAGAGAAGUGUAAAACAUUUGUUGUGUAUUUGAAUUCACUGCAACUGCCCAUGAAAUAGAAACACAAGUGCUUGUUAUAUAGAGAUCAUUGUCAGUAUUAGUUUCUAUUUUUAAUUUCUAUCUUGUUCACCUUCAUUUGAUUGUUGCAGAGACUAACAAAGAUAAUACUUUUGAGUAUUAUGAGUUUCACUAAUAAAUAAAAAUGGGCAUUUAAGUACAGGGGCAUGGUAGACAUGAAUACACCUUCUGCAUUUCUAAUCAGUAUUGUUUUUAAAAUGUUUUGAUUCCUUUUAUUUUCUAAACUUUCAGAGUAGCCUGUUUUUUUUUCAGUGAGGAUAAGUAUGAUAAUAAUGAUAAUGUUAACUAUAUUUACAACAUAACUUAGAGAAUGAUGGGAAAUAUACUGCUUGUUAAGUUAUUGAACAGGGCAUUUGUACUGAAUUAUAAGAGAUUUUCAGUUAUUGUGCAGAAUAAGAAAAAUGAUAUGACUGUGAUAAUCACUCUUUAAAGGUGUUAUUAUCGAUCCCACUGUUCAUUGGAAAACAAGUAGCUCAAAGAGUUGGAAGUGGGUGAUGUUGUCUAACUGCUUUCUCUCUAGUCUACCACUUCAGAAUUAGAGA